AGAGUUUGAUCCUGGCUCAGAAUCAACGCUGGCGGCGUGCCUAACACAUGCAAGUCGAACGAGAAAGGGGAGCAAUCCCUGAGUACAGUGGCGCACGGGUGAGUAACACGUGACUAACCUACCCUGGAGUGGGGAAUAACUGAGGGAAACCUUAGCUAAUACCGCAUAAUACCUACGGGUCAAAGGAGCAAUUCGCUUCAGGAGGGGGUCGCGGCCGAUUAGCUAGUUGGCGGGGUAAUGGCCCACCAAGGCAAUGAUCGGUAUCCGGCCUGAGAGGGCGCACGGACACACUGGAACUGAAACACGGUCCAGACUCCUACGGGAGGCAGCAGUGGGGAAUCUUGCGCAAUGGGGGAAACCCUGACGCAGCAACGCCGCGUGGAGGAUGAAAUCCCUUGGGAUGUAAACUCCUUUCGAUCGGGACGAUUAUGACGGUACC
rnacentral:rRNA from 1 species